rnacentral:rRNA from 1 species
AGUGAACGCUGGCGGUAGGCCUAACACAUGCAAGUCGAACGGCAGCACAGUAAGAGCUUGCUCUUACGGGUGGCGAGUGGCGGACGGGUGAGGAAUACAUCGGAAUCUACUUUUUCGUGGGGGAUAACGUAGGGAGACUUACGCUAAUACCGCAUACGACCUACGGGUGAAAGCAGGGGAUCUUCGGACCUUGCGCGAUUGAAUGAGCCGAUGUCGGAUUAGCUAGUUGGCGGGGUAAAGGCCCACCAAGGUGACGAUCCGUAGCUGGUCUGAGAGGAUGAUCAGCCACACUGGAACUGAGACACGGUCCAGACUCCUACGGGAGGCAGCAGUGGGGAAUAUUGGACAAUGGGCGCAAGCCUGAUCCAGCCAUACCGCGUGGGUGAAGAAGGCCUUCGGGUUGUAAAGCCCUUUUGUUGGGAAAGAAAAGCAGCAGGUUAAUACCCCGCUGUUCUGACGGUACCCAAAGAAUAAGCACCGGCUAACUUCGUG